GUGAUCACUUCAACAGCACAGAUACUAAAAAUGGAAAGCUACAAAGAUUAGCAUGGCCCCUGUGCAAGGAUGCCACACAAAUUCAUGAAGAAGCAGUCCAUAUUUUU